CCCAAGCAACUUCUCAAGAAUUACAAUUAUAAUUACCAAGAUUAUAGUCCAAUUAUUUUACUGGGAUCACAAUUAAACCUAGUUGGUUUUCCUUAAUUACACUAACUAAAAUCAUUCCCAAGCCACUCAUAGGCUAUACAAAAUCCAAUUCAAGGCUUGAAUGUGCCUAUCUCCAAGUUUCAAUGCCUAAUUGAAACUUGUAAAUAAUAGAAAAUAGAAUACAAUUUAAAGCACAAAUAAUAAGCUCCUCAAUAAGCAAAUAAAAAGAUCAUUAGAGCCCAAGCCGAAUAGAUG
rnacentral:lncRNA from 1 species